CCUCGGUGAAGAAACGAUGACGAGUCGGAUGGCGACUGUUUUGCGCCGGGACGGCGGCCGCUUCAGAUCGCGUUCUGCGUUUCUGCUUCGGCUUCCUUCCGGCGCGAAAGUCGUUUUCUCGCUGAAGACGCUGAGGCAUUUGUCUGAGAGGG